UCGGGAAUUUUGGGCAAUGGGCGAAAGCCUGACCCAGCAACGCCGCGUGAGGGAUGAAGUAUUUCGGUAUGUAAACCUCGAAAGAAUGGGACGAAUAAAUGACGGUACCAUUUAUAAGCUCCGGCUAACUACGUGCCAGCAGCCGCGGUAAUACGUAGGGAGCAAGCGUUGUUCGGAUUUACUGGGCGUAAAGGGCGCGUAGGCGGCGCGGUAAGUCACUUGUGAAAUCUCUGAGCUUAACUCAGAACGGCCAAGUGAUACUGCUGUGCUAGAGUGCGGAAGAGGCAACCGGAAUUCUUGGUGUAGCGGUGAAAUGCGUAGAUAUCAAGAGGAACACCUGAGGCGAAGGCGGGUUGCUGGGCCGACACUGACGUUGAUGCGCGAAAGCCAGGGGAGCAAACG
rnacentral:rRNA from 1 species